AGGAGGUGUACUGGGACAACAUAUUUUAUUCAGAGCUUCACUAUUCUGCUCCAAGGACAGGGCAUGGCUGCCCGCUUCCUGAUCUUGAGGCUGCAUAUGUGGCUGGGAAGGCUCCUGGCGAUCAGUGGUGCUGUGGGCAGUGAUGGAGGAGGCGGACCACCUCCAGGAUAGGUCCAGUACUCUUCCGCCCUCCUGGACAGCUCGUGCCUUCCCUUACAGACUACGGGAUGGGUGUGCCCUCUGACCUUUAUUCUGAUUAGCUCCUGUGCAGUAUAUAAGCUGUGUGUACGUCCUCAUUAAAUGAGAUCCUGCUCUGA